AAAGGUUUGGUCCUAGCCUUACUGUUAAUUGUAAUUAAAUCUACACAUGCAAGUUUCCGCUGCCCAGUGAGAAUGCCCCAAAAAUUGACAACUCAAUUUAUAGGAGCAGGUAUCAGGCACACUAACUUUAUUAGUAGCCCACAACACCUUGCUUAACCACACCCCCACGGGAUACAGCAGUGACUAAAAUUAAGCAAUAAACGAAAGUUUGACUAAGUUAUAAUUAAUUAGGGUUGGUAAAUUUCGUGCCAGCCACCGCGGUCAUACGAUUAACCCAAAUUAACAGAAAAACGGCGUAAAGCGUGUUUAAGCCCACCACACAAUAAAGCUAACAUAUAACUAAACUGUAAUACGCUCUAGUUAUUAUUAAAAUACUCUACUAAAGUGGCUUUAAUCCUGCUGAACACACGAUAGCUAAGGAACAAACUGGGAUUAGAUACCCCACUAUGCUUAGCCCUAAACCCAAGUAGUUAAACAACAAAACUACUCGCCAGAGAACUACUAGCAAAUGCUUAAAACUCAAAGGACUUGGCGGUGCCCUAAACCCAUCUAGAGGAGCCUGUUCUAUAAUCGAUAAACCCCGAUAAACCUCACCCCUUUUUGCUAAUGCAGCCUAUAUACCGCCAUCGUCAGCUAACCUCAAAAGAGAGAUACAGUAAGCAAAACUAUUCUCCAUAAAAACGUUAGGUCAAGGUGUAGCAUAUAAAGGGGAAAGAAAUGGGCUACAUUUUCUAUAUUAGAACAUACGAAUUACCUUAUGAAACUUCAGGUAUGUUUUGUGGAUUUAGUAGUAAAUUAAGAAUAGAGAGCUUAAUUGAAAUAGGCAAUAGGGCGCGCACACACCGCCCGUCACCCUCCUCAAUUUAACCUAUACCUAUAUCUAAUAACAAAUUAUAACAAAAGAGGAGAAAAGUCGUAACAUGGUAAGUGUACUGGAAAGUGCACUUGGAAUA
rnacentral:ncRNA from 1 species